rnacentral:rRNA from 1 species
UCGAGGAUCUUUAGCAAUGCCCGAAAGGGUGACUAUGCGACGCCGCGUGUGGGAUGAAGGCCUUCGGGUCGUAAACCACUGUCAGGGAGGAAGAAACCUUACGUGUUAACAGCGCGUAAGCUGACAUCACUCCCAAAGGAAGCCACGGCUAACUCUGUGCCAGCAGCCGCGGUAAGACAGAGGUGGCAAGCGUUGUUCGGAUUUAUUGGGUGUAAAGGGUCCGUAGGUGGCCUAACAAGUCUGAUGUGAAAUCCCAUGGCUCAACCGUGGAACUGCAUUGGAAACUGUUGGGCUUGAGUACCACAGAGGUAAAGGGAAUUCCCGGUGUAAGGGUGAAAUCUGUAGAUAUCGGGAGGAACACCAGUGGCGAAGGCGCUUUACUGGGCGGUUACUGACACUGAGGGACGAAAGCAAGGGGAGCAAACAGGAUUAGAUACCCUUGUAGUCCCUGAGCGGGCUGGCAAGGCGCAU